rnacentral:rRNA from 1 species
GUCUUGCCAAAGGCAUCGCUGGGUAGCUAUGUGCGGAAGGGAUAAGUGCUGAAAGCAUCUAAGCAUGAAGCCCCCCUCGAGAUGAGAUUUCCCAUCACUUUAUGUGAGUAAGAUCCCUGAAAGAUGAUCAGGUAGAUAGGUCUGAGGUGGAAGCGUGGCGACACGUGCAGCUGACAGAUACUAAUCGAUCGAGGACUUAACCAC